UUCAAUAAGUCAAUAUAAUAUGCGUUUUAGACUGAUGGAGUUGUUUUGCAGGAUGUUUUCUUUUUUGCAGGUAAGAUUUUGUCACUUCGGCCAGAAUCAGAUCUAUUUUGUCGCUUUGGCCUUAAUAGAUCCAGGUCCAAUUUGUCGCUUUGGCCAUAAUGGACCAAAAAUUAUUUUGUCGUUUUGGCCUUAAUAAUUCUCUAUCUUGUCGCUUUGGCCCUGAUAGACUAGAGAUCAUUUUGUCACUUUGGCCUUAA
rnacentral:lncRNA from 1 species